CACAGGUGCUGCAUGGCUGUCGUCAGCUCGUGUCGUGAGAUGUUGGUUAAGUCCGCAACGAGCGCAACCCUUGUCAUUAGUUGCUACAUUCAGUUGGGCACUCUAAUGAGACUGCCGGUGACAAACCGGAGGAAGGUGGGGAUGACGUCAAGUCCUCAUGGCCCUUAUAGGUGGGGCUACACACGUCAUACAAUGGAUGGUACAAAGGGUCGCCAACCCGCGAGGGGGAGCCAAUCCCAUAAAGCCAUUCGUAGUCCGGAUCGCAGUCUGCAACUCGACUGCGUGAAGUCGGAAUCGCUAGUAAUCGUGGAUCAGAAUGUCACGGUGAAUACGUUCCCGGGUCUU
rnacentral:rRNA from 1 species